UUGAGUUUGUGCUUUAUGUGUGAGUUUGUGCUUUGAGCCAAUAUCUGGGAACAUUGUUACCUGAAGAUCACCUUUGGUAGGACAAGAUUUUCUCUAUUCUGUGAUUAAACUGAGGCUGCCCAGGCAGUUCUGCUGAUUGCUUUGUGGAUUGGCAAAGGCUCCAGGAAGCAAUCAACCUAGUGCCACAAAACAAAGCACCCAGAGAAGCCCUAUUCCUGACCCUUCAAAACCUUCUUCCUUCUGAAGGGGGUAGAAAAUAAAGGAGAAUUAUCCCUGGAUCAGGAAUUGAUUAUAGGAGAGACAAGCAAUGUCAAAAGAAUUUUAGAUAAUUAGGGUAACUGUGGUGGCCAGCGCUGUUAGUGCUAAAAAGUUUGAGUCACAUAAAGGAAUAGCAAACCACCAGGUUGGCUAGGGCUGCAGCAUGUUGUGACCACUUAAGAGAAUAAUGAUUUUGUAGGGAUACAGUAUCCAGAGAGCAGUAAGGUGACUCAAAUAAUGAAAGUAUGAGGAAGAAAGGAGAAAAGGAGAGGCAACUUUCCACAUUAUGGUGGAGGAAUCCCUUGGAUGGACUCUGGAUAAAGGUAUAGCCCUAACCUCCUAGCAUCUCUGAAAUAUGUUUGGGGGCUAUCCCUGAAACUUUUGUCACAUCCGCUAGACUUCCUUUUCCCAUCUUACAUACAUCCUCCAAAGCCAGGAAAAAGAAUGCAUCUCUCCAUGCUCUAGAGCAGCAGCUGCUGAAGGGAGACUCAUAAAUCCUCUGACAGCAUCUUUCCUUAAACAUACACCAUCACAGUUUUCAAAUUCAUUGAUGUGAGAUGAGCACAGCAAUAGCAUCAUCUCCCUUAUACUAUAUAUGAUAUUCUUUAUUGUAAAUGUUUUGCCAUAGUUUAACUUGCAGUAUUGAUGAAAGUUUUGUAAGAAAAGACAAGCACAUGCUAGUAAUGGUGUUUUAUAAUGUGGGACGAGAUUUUUCAGAAAAGUGACU
rnacentral:lncRNA from 1 species